CAAUGUGACAACUGGUUUGAUGUCUGGGGCCGGGGGACCCAGGUCACUGUCUCCUCAGGGACUGCAAGCCCCCCAGCGCUGUUCCCCCUGGUCUCCUGUGAGAACUCCCCCCUAGACACGAGCACUGUGGUGCUGGGCUGCCUGGCCCGGGACUUCCUACCCGGUGGCGUCACCUUCUCCUGGAACUACAAGAACUCAUCUGUCAUCAGUAGCUUCAGGAGCUUUCCAGAUAUCCUGAGGGAGGGCAAGUACACGGCCACCUCGCAGGUGCUGCUGCCCUCCAAAGACGUCCUACUGGGCACAGACAACCACCUGGUGUGCCAGGUGGAGCACAACAAAGUCAAAAAGAAUGUGAACGUGCCUCUUCCAGUGAUGCUGGAGCAGCCCCCCACCGUGACUGUGUUCAUCCCACCCCGCGACGCUUUCUCCAGCACCAGCCCCCGCAGGUCCAGGCUCAUCUGCCAGGCCACAGACUUCAGCCCCCGUCAGGUCAAAGUGUCCUGGCUGCACGAUGGAAAGCGGCUGGAGUCUGGUUUCUCCACGGGCCCAGUGGAGGCUCAGGCCCAAGGGUCUGGGCCCUCCACCUUCAAGGUCACCAGUACACUGACCAUCAAUGAGAGUGACUGGCUGAACCAGAACGUGUUCACCUGCCGCGUGGAUCACAGAGGCCUGACCUUCCUGAAGAACGUGUCCUCCAUGUGCAGCACCACUGCAGGUCCAGCCACGAGCAUCCAAGUCUUCACCAUCCCUCCCUCAUUUGCCAGCAUCUUCCUCAGCAAGUCGACCAAGCUGUCCUGCCUGGUCACAGACCUGGCCACCUAUGAUAGCCUCAUCAUCACCUGGACCCGUCAGAAUGGCGAGCCCCUGAAGACCCACACCAACAUCUCUGAAAGCCACCCCAAUGCCACCUUCAGUGUCAUGGGUGAGGCCAGCAUCUGUGAGGACGACUGGAACUCAGGGGAGAGAUUCACGUGCACAGUGGCCCACACGGACCUGCCCUCACCACUAAAGCAGAGCAUCUCCAAGCCCAAGAAUGUGGCCCUGCACAAGCCCGAUGUUUACAUGCUGCCUCCAGCCCGGGAAGAGCUAAACUUGCGGGAGGCAGCCACCAUCACCUGCCUGGUGAAGGGCUUCUCCCCUGCAGACGUGUUUGUGCAGUGGAUGCAGAGGGGGCAGCCUGUGGCCUCAGACAAGUAUGUGACCAGCGCCUCGAUGCCUGAGCCCCAUGCUCCAGGCCUCUACUUUGCCCACAGCUUCCUGACUGUGACCGAGGAGGACUGGAACUCAGGGGAGGCCUUCACCUGUGUCGUGGCCCAUGAGGCCCUGCCCAACAGGGUCACCGAGAGGACCGUGGACAAGUCCACUGAGGGAGAGGUGAGUGCUGAGGAGGAGGGCUUCGAGAGUCUGUGGACCACCGCCUCCACCUUCAUCGUCCUCUUCCUGCUGAGCCUCUUCUACAGCACCACUGUCACCUUGUUCAAGGUAGAGAAGCCCAGGGGCACCACGCUGGAGGAGGCUGCUUGCAGGGAGCAUGAUGGCACAGGGCCCAGCCUGUGCUGAACAUCAGUCCUGGGGACUCUUGGAUGCCCUCCUGCCUGGUCAUCGUGGCCCUACUCCUGCCCCAACAGUGGGAAAUACUAUCCAUACUGUCUCUGUCACCUCAGGUGAAAUGACUGCCCAGUGAGAGAGUGUCAGAGACCAAAGAGACGGACCAGAAGGUCUCCGCUGCGAGCCCAGAGCACCUGCAUCCCAUCCUGUGCCCUGCUGUGCUUAGAUCCUGCCCUGCAGCUCUGAGCUCGAAAAGCGGCUUCCAUCUGACCAGCCAGGUGCCCACCAAUGUGGGGUGGGGUGAGGGUCUGCCCAAGCCUGUGCUGCCCUGCACACAUUUGCUGCCCUAAAAUAAAC